rnacentral:rRNA from 1 species
GAUGAACGCUGGCGGCGUGCCUAACACAUGCAAGUCGAGCGAUUCUCUUCGGAGAAGAGCGGCGGACGGGUGAGUAACGCGUGGGUAACCUGCCCUGUACACACGGAUAACAUACCGAAAGGUAUGCUAAUACGAGAUAGUAUGCUUUUAUCGCAUGGUAGAAGUAUCAAAGCUCCGGCGGUACAGGAUGGACCCGCGUCUGAUUAGCUAGUUGGUAAGGUAACGGCUUACCAAGGCGACGAUCAGUAGCAGACCUGAGAGGGUGAUCGGCCACAUUGGAACUGGGACACGGUCCAAACUCCUACGGGAGGCAGCAGUGGGGAAUAUUGCACAAUGGGCGAAAGCCUGAUGCAGCAACGCCGCGUGAGCGAUGAAGGCCUUCGGGUCGUAAAGCUCUGUCCUCAAGGAAGAUAAUGACGGUACUUGAGGAGGAAGCCCCGGCUAACUACGUGCCAGCCGCCGCAGUAAAAC